GACGAACGCUGGCGGCGUGCCUAAUACAUGCAAGUCGAACGGAGCGGCGGACGGGGGAGUAAUGCCUAGGAAUCUGCCUGGUAGUGGGGGAUAACGUCCGGAAACGGGCGCUAAUACCGCAUACUAUCAGAUGAGCCUAGGGCGGUUUAGCUAGGUGGUGGGGUAACGGCCUACCAAGGCGACGAUCCGUAACUGGGCUGAGAGGAUGAUCAGUCACACUGGAACUGAGACACGGUCCAGCCUCCGACGGGAUGCAGCAGUGGGGAAUAUUGGACAAUUGGCGAAAGCCUGAUCCAGCCAUGCGGCGUGUGUGAAGAAGGUCUUCGGAUUGUAAAGCACUUUAAGUUGGGAGGCGUUACCAACAGAAUAAGCACCGGCUAACUUCGUGCCAGCCGCCGCGGUAAUAC
rnacentral:rRNA from 1 species